rnacentral:lncRNA from 1 species
GAUUGGACUUUAUUUUCAUGCUGUGAUUGGUUGUCCUAAGACUUGCUCUCAUCCAAUCAGAAUCGAAGCUGGGAGCUCAGCUUAGAGAACAGGAAGUGGGAGCCACAUACCCCGAGCUGGCGGCUUGAGCCUGUGGUAUCUAGGCUCACCUCACUGCGGUUGGUGGAGGUGAUGGAGGUUGCAGCUUGGCCAGCAUGGUAGAAAGGUGGCAGGGUAGGCACGUCUGGCUUUUACCACCCAGUUGCUUCGAGCCAGGAGAUGGAGGAGUCAUCUGUUGCACGCUGGAGGCUGGAGCCUGCAGAUGGCAUGGUUCUGUGGCUCACCUCGCUGCAGUUGGUGGCAGAGACAGAGACUGCAGCUUGACCAGAGUGGUGGAGUGAUAUGUAUCUCAAGAGCACUCCACAACAAAGAUUCUGCCUGCAAUCCUCCACUUCAAGGUCUGUUCCAGGAAACCUGUGUAACACAGUUAUGCAUAGAGUGGUCUUAGGAAGCUGACUCUAACAUGAAAAUUUAGAGUUGGAUCUUUUGCUGACAUAUUGAAUAUUCAUAAGAGCAUAUGAUACAUUUGUCUAUCAUAAACAUGUCAUUUCAAAAAACCCUCAAAGUUGCCUUGUAGAACAUAAUUUUAAAACUAGUGUGUAGGAAUAUUUCAUAUCAGUUAUUCAGUCUUCUUAAUAUCUGAACCGAAAUUAAUCUUCCAUUCUGCUUUUAUUUAUAAAUAAUGAUUUAUUGUCAGAUUCAAUAAUUUAUAUUUUCAUUUAUUCUAAGGUAGGAAAUACCAGCAUAAAAAUAAAUUAUUUGAAACAAAUCACAUUGUUGUCCCAUUUUACCAUUACUCACAUGUAGAAGAUAUUGUUUUUAACAAAAACAAUAAGAGAAACAGAAACUACCAUUUAUUAACUGAUGCUUACUGGAAGCUUUAGAAGGAUCUUAUUUAACUUUCAAUCAAGUUUUUCAUGGACAUUUUUGUUAUUGAGAAAUAAUUUUAAUUUAUCAGAUCCUCAAAGCAAAUUAUAUAGGUGCCAUUAUUAACAGAUUUUUUAAAAAAACCUGAUUCAUAGAAAAGGUUAAUGAUAUGGUUUGGAUCUUUGACCCCAUCAAAUCUCAUGUUGAAUUGCAAUCCCCAGUGCUGGAAGUGGGGCCUGGUGGGAGCUGAUUAAAUUAUGGAGGUGGAGUUCUCGUGAAUGGUAUAGCACCAUUCCUUUGGUGCUGUCUUGUGGUUGAGUUUUCAUGACAUUUGGUUGUUUAAAAGUUUGUGGCAUCUUUCCCAUCUCUCUCUUGCUCUUCCUGCAGCCAGGUGAAGGGCUGUUCCCCCUUUGCCUUCUGCCAUGAUUGUAAAUUUCCUGAGGCCUCCCCAAAAGCUGAGCAGGUGUCAGCAUCAUGCUUCCUUAACAGCCAAUGGAAUUACGAGUCAAUUAAAUCUAUUUUCCUUAUAAAUUACAAGUCUUCAGUUUUUCUUCAUAGCAGUGAGGAAAUGAACUAAUUCAGCUAGUAAAUGACAAAUGCCAUAAAAAUAGCAAAUAGCACAAGAAGAUAUCCAACCAAGACUAGGGGACUCCAGAACCUAAGGAUUUCUGAAAGCAUAGGUUUUUAAGAGUGUGAAGAAACUAAGCCUGGGACACAUUUAGGAACUCAAUUACAUAAGAAAUAAAAAUCAUAUAUAGACUAUUUAAAUUUAGAAGAGGAGGAGGAGAGAAGAAAGAUAAGGAAGAGGAGGAGGAGGAAGAAGAAGACAUUCUGGCUUAGCACAUUUACUCUAGUCUAUAGGGAAAGCUCAGUUAUACCCGUUCCCCACUAACCCUAAGAGGAGCUCUAAUGUUCAUAAGGGGCUUUCUCAAGGACUCAAAUAAAUCCUCAGGGAUACAAAACGAUGGGAUACCAAGCAGUAGAGUUGUGUGUGUGUGUGUGUGUGUGUGUGUGUGUGUGUGUGUGUGUGUGUUAGACAAAUAGAUGAAAAAUUUUAUUUUCUUUUGAGACAUAAUCAUUUUGUUUGGAGUCUCUCUCUUUUUCUCUCGAUUCUCUUUCUCUCCCUCUGUCUUUCUUUUUCUUUCUCACUUUCCCUUUGCAAUACUAGUGAAGUAAGACAAAAUGAAAUGAGCAUGGGAUCUUUCUCUAGCUUGAUAGAUCGUUUGUUAUUAUUUGUUUCUUCAUUACAAACUUCCCUGUUAAACUUUCAUGGCUUAAAACAAAAUACUAUAUCUUGUUCCUGAAACUGAACUUUGGGCAGGGCCCAGUGUGAAGGUCUCAUCUCUGUCUAUGUCAAUCAGGUCAGCUGAGGAAAUUCAACUGGGGCUCCAGGCAUAAUUUUCAAGACAGCUCACAGAUGUCACCAAUGUGACAUAAUAAAUGACACCAAUUAUUAUUUAAGAGAAAUUGAAAAGGCUUUUAAAAAUGGCUUGUCUCUAGCUUCAUCCAUGUCCCUACAGCAAACUGUCACAAGGACAAAAAAUCAAACACCGCUUGUUCUCACUCAUAGGUGCGAAUUGAACAAUGAGAACAUUUGGACACAGGAAGGGGAACAUUACACACCGGGGCCUGUUGUGGGGUGGGGGGAGCGGGGAGGGAUAGCAUUAGGAGAUAUACCCAAUGUAAGUGACGAGUUAAUGGGUGCAGCACACCAACAUGGCACAUGUAUACAUAUGUAAUAAACCUGCAUGUUGUGCACAUGUACCCUAGAACUUAAAGUAUAAUAAAAAAAAAAAAACGGCUUGUCUCUAUUUACCAUCCUAGGAUUCUUAACACUGUGGAUGACCUCCUUUUCUAAAGAAAUUUUUUCCUUUUUGAUUUAUUGAAUGUUUUAUUCUAAUUUCUCUACCUCUUUGACUGCUUCUCUCUCUCUACUUGUAAACAGUUGUCUUUCAAGGCAAGGUCAUGGUUUUGAUGUCUUAUAUUCCACCAAGAAAACAAAAAGUGGUGGCUUCAAUAAUUGCCUUUAGUCACAGGAGCCUGAGUCCUGGACUCAGACUUCCUGGAAUUGAAUCUCUCUCUCCAGGUACUCGGUGUCUCCAUACCUCAGUUUUCUUAUAGGUAAAAAUCUGGUGUAUUAGUCAGGUUUCUCUAGGGCAACAGGACUAAGAGGAUAGAUGUAGAUAUGAAAGGGAGUUUAUUAAGGAAUACUGACUCAUAUGAUCACAAGGUGAAGUCCCACAAAAGGCUGUCUGUAAGCUGAGGAGCAAGGAAGCCAGACCGUGUCCCAAAACCUCCAAAGUAGGGAAGCCAACAGUGCAAUCUUCAGUCUGUGGCCAAAGGCCCCUGACAAAGCACUGGAGUAAGUCCAAGAGUCCAAAACCUGAAGAACUUGGAGUCUGAUGUCCAAGGGCAGGAGGUAUCCAGCACGAGAGAAAGGUGGAGGCCAGAAAUCUCAGGCAGUCUAAUCUUUCCAUGUUCCUCUGCCUAUUUUUAUCCUAGCUGCACUGGAAGCUGAGUAGGUGUUGCCCACCCAGAUUAAGGGUGGAUCUGCCUCUCCUAGCCCAUUGACUCAAACAUUAAUCUCCCUUGGCAACACCUUCACAGACACACCCAGGAACAAUAAUUUUCAUUCUUCAAUAUGAUCAAGUUCAUACUCAAUAUUAACCACCACAUUUAGGAAAUUAUACUGCCUUGCUCAUAGGGACAUUAUAAGGAUUAAAAUGUGAAAAUAGGCUUAAAACAUCUGGCACAUUAUAUAUUAAGCACUUAUUAACAUGGGCUGUUUACUUCGGCCCUGACCUGAACGAUUCUUCUCAACCAUUUUUCUUGUUCCUGUUCUUCUUGCUCAAUUUAAUAUUUUCUCCUGAUUUCCAGAGAGUAAUUAGUAGUUAAAAAUAAAGACUUAGUGAUUAAAAG